AUUGAACGCUGGCGGCAGGCCUAACACAUGCAAGUCGAACGAGUGGCGGACGGGUGAGUAAUGUCUGGGAAACUGCCCGAUGGAGGGGGAUAACUACUGGAAACGGUAGCUAAUUACGCAUACCAUCGGAUGAGCCCAGAUGGGAUUAGCUAGUCGGUGGGUGAACGGCUCACCUAGGCGACGAUCUCUACCUGGUCUGAGAGGAUGACACGUCACACUGGACAGUAGACACGGUCCAGACUCCUACGGGAGGCAGGAGUGGGGAAUAUUGCACAAUGGGCGCAAGCCUGAUGCAGCCAUGCCGCGUGUAUGAAGAAGGCCUUCGGGUUGUAAAGUACUUUCAGCGAGGAGGCGUUACUCGCAGAAGAAGCACCGGCUAACUCCGUGCCAGCCGCCGCGGUAAUAC
rnacentral:rRNA from 1 species